GUCAGCUCAGUUAGACCCCUGCCUUAUC
rnacentral:piRNA from 2 species